rnacentral:rRNA from 1 species
AACGAACGCUGGCGGCAGGCCUAACACAUGCAAGUCGAACGCCGUAGCAAUACGGAGUGGCAGACGGGUGAGUAACACGUGGGAACGUACCCUUCGGUUCGGGAUAACUCAGGGAAACUUGAGCUAAUACCGGAUACGUCCGAGAGGAGAAAGAUUUAUUGCCGAGGGAUCGGCCCGCGUCUGAUUAGCUUGUUGGUGAGGUAACGGCUCACCAAGGCGACGAUCAGUAGCUGGUCGAGAGGAUGAUCAGCCACAUUGGGACUGAGACACGGCCCAAACUCCUACGGGAGGCAGCAGUGGGGAAUAUUGGACAAUGGGCGCAAGCCUGAUGCAGCGACGCCGCGUGAGGGAUGACG